rnacentral:rRNA from 1 species
UACGGGGGGGGUAAGCGUUGCUCGGAAUCAUUGGGCGUAAAGCGCACGUAGGCGGACCGCUAAGUCGGAUGUGAAAGCCCUCGGCUUAACCGAGGAAGUGCAUUCGAAACUGACAGUCUUGAGUAUGGAAGAGGGUCGCGGAAUUCCCGGUGUAGAGGUGAAAUUCGUAGAUAUCGGGAGGAACACCAGUGGCGAAGGCGGCGACCUGGGCCAAUACUGACGCUGAGGUGCGAAAGCGUGGGGAGCAAACAGG